rnacentral:rRNA from 1 species
UACGUAGGCAGCGAGCGUUGUUCGGAAUUACUGGGCGUAAAGAGUGUGUAGGCGGUGCUCUAAGUUCGGUGUGAAAUCUCCCGGCUUAACUGGGAGGGUGCGCCGGAAACUGGAGUGCUCGAGCGUGGGAGAGGAAAGCGGAAUUCCUGGUGUAGCGGUGAAAUGCGUAGAUAUCAGGAGGAACACCGGUGGUGUAGACGGCUUUCUGGACCAUAGCUGACGCUGAGACACGAAAGCGUGGGUAGCAAACAGG